UAGUUUUAAAAUAUCGUAACGGCUGAUUCACAUAUUUAACUCGAUAUCUGCCAUCUGUUGUAUACGUUAAAAU
rnacentral:sRNA from 1 species